GUGAAAAGCUUCAACUCCAGGCAGAAAGGGGAGUGAGGAGCAAAGAAAACAACUCAGAACAAUCGCUGGAAAGCAAGAGCAUCCUAAAUCUCAUCUAUUAAGAGCAGAGAAAAACACCUAAAAACCUCCACCAUAUUUUUUUGUGUACAGUGCCUUUUUGCUGGCACUUGGUUACAACAAUAGUGGAGAAAAGUAGGCCCAUAAAGCAAGAUUGAUUGCUGGGAAGAUGAUCAAUUGCUGCUGUGAAAGGGGAAAAAACUGAUAAAUGUUUUUUUUUUCCCUCUCUUCACAACCUUUUGCUAAAGCUGUGCAAAAUGUGUCAUGCAUAAAAAGUAUGCAAUUUUCAUGUAAUUAGAGGAACACAAGAUGAAAAUGAGUUCCAUCAGAGCAAUCAAGGAUGGUAAUGUGAUAUAUAGAAGGCACAACCUUGUGGUCAUAACUAGAUCCCUGGCUUCUCACUGCAAAAUAAGAAACUAUCAUUAAAGAGUGGCUGAACAUAUUUUUCACAAAAUAAAGUGGUUGUUUGGAUCACACAUAUCACAAAAAGAGAAAAAAAUCAAGGCAAGCCUAGGCCAGCUCAUGGAUUUGAAGUCAUCAAACUAUAUAAUCAGAGAUGCUUAGAUUUAGAAGGAACUGUAGAGGUCAUAUCAAUAGAUAUACAUGGAAUGAAUAUUGGUCUAAUGCAUGAAAGAUCCAGUGAAUCUAAUAAAAGCCCUACUGAAUUGCCUGCUAUAUUGCCUGGAAUUGUUAUUUACUUUUCAUGUAUAUUAAUUAACACUUCUGUACCCUUCACUCAGUGUUUGCAUCAUGCCUUGUGUAUGGGACAUAGUUAAGGAGUCCUUGGUACAUCUUUAUUGAAUUUAUACUGUCAGAGAUAUCUGUGCUAAAUGGGGAGGAGCAGAUAUUCA
rnacentral:lncRNA from 1 species